rnacentral:rRNA from 1 species
CUUGGUCAUUUUGAGGAAGUGAAAGUCGUAACAAGGUCUCCGUUGGUGAACCAGCGGAGGGAUCAUUAUAGAGUUUUCUAAACUCCCAACCCAUGUGAACUUACCAUUGUUGCCUCGGCAGAAGCUGCUCGGUGCACCCUACCUUGGAACGGCCUACCCUGUAGCGCCUUACCCUGGAACGGCUUACCCUGUAACGGCUGCCGGUGGACUACCAAACUCUUGUUAUUUUAUUGUAAUCUGAGCGUCUUAUUUUAAUAAGUCAAAACUUUCAACAACGGAUCUCUUGGUUCUGGCAUCGAUGAAGAACGCAGCGAAAUGCGAUAAGUAAUGUGAAUUGCAGAAUUCAGUGAAUCAUCGAAUCUUUGAACGCACAUUGCGCCCAUUAGUAUUCUAGUGGGCAUGCCUGUUCGAGCGUCAUUUCAACCCUUAAGCCUAGCUUAGUGUUGGGAGCCUACUGCUUUUGCUAGCUGUAGCUCCUGAAAUACAACGGCGGAUCUGCGAUAUCCUCUGAGCGUAGUAAAUUUUUAUCUCGCUUUUGACUGGAGUUGCAGCGUCUUUGGCCGCUAAAUCCCCCAAUUUUUAAUGGUUGACCUCGGAUCAGGUAGGAAUACCCGCUGAACUUAAGCAUAUCAAUAAGCGGAGGA